rnacentral:rRNA from 1 species
AUUGAACGCUGGCGGCAGGCCUAACACAUGCAAGUCGAACGGUAGCACAGAGAGCUUGCUCUCGGGUGACGAGUGGCGGACGGGUGAGUAACGUCUGGGAAACUGCCCGAUGGAGGGGGAUAACUACUGGAAACGGUAGCUAAUACCGCAUAACGUCGCAAGACCAAAGUGGGGGACCUUCGGGCCUCACACCAUCGGAUGUGCCCAGAUGGGAUUAGCUAGUAGGUGGGAUAAUGGCUCACCUAGGCGACGAUCCCUAGCUGGUCUGAGAGGAUGACCAGCCACACUGGAACUGAGACACGGUCCAGACUCCUACGGGAGGCAGCAGUGGGGAAUAUUGCACAAUGGACGCAAGCCUGAUGCAGCCAUGCCGCGUGUAUGAAGAAGGCCUUCGGGUUGUAAAGUACUUUCAGCGGGGAGGAAGGCGGUGGAGUUAAUAACUUCACCGAUUGACGUUACCCGCAGAAGAAGCACCGGCUAACUCCGUGCCAGCCGCCGCGGUAA